rnacentral:misc_RNA from 1 species
CUAAGUUAACCGCGAUUCACCAAACCCUCACCUCUCGCCUCACACACUUGCUUCUCUCCUUAUACGGUCUGUCCGCUGCUUUCCGCGCCAUCCCCCUUCGCUAGCUCUUCGCCGUACAUCCCCCCUACAUCACCCUCUCUCGCAAUCAUGGGGUUCGAAGCUCUCCGCGGCCGCAUGGAUGUGGCGCUGAGUAUGCUGUGCUCGUGCAUCGUGUUCGUGUUCCUCGUGACGUCUGCGCCGAUCUCGCAGUUCCGUGGCAGGGGCAUCAACGCUAGCGCCACUGGCGGCGCAAGCAAGUUGUCGUGCGUGACCGUGUGGGGCCUGAAGAAUGACUGCAACGCCAACAACUACGACUACCGCCCGACGAGCAUAGGAUGCGCACGCUCGAAGCAGCUGUUCCAGGUGUCGGAGGCGUUCUACAUUCUCGCCGUUAUUGUGUCGUUCCUGUCGUGCCUGAUGAGCGGGCUGUACUUCAUGGGCAUCAAGGCAAAGGUGCUGCUGGUCCUGCUUGCCGUCCUUGAGGUUGCGUUUGCGCUGAUCCCAUGGGUGUGCAUGACGGCGGUGUGGUACGGCAACUACUGCGGCGGGUCGACCGUGAAGAUCAACACGUCGAGCGGCAAGGCGGACGGCGUGCCGCACGGCUCUGUGCUGCGUGAGUCGUUCAAGGUCAGCGCUGGCUACGGUCUGACGGUUGCGGCAUGGUGCACCCAGGUGAUUGGCCUGGUGCUGCUGAUUAUAAUGUGAAAGAAAAUAUCUUCGUCCAGGCUAGAGGAAGUGGGGAAGAGGUGCGACGCUUCCGUGAUGCGCAAUCGGCAUGUGUGAGUGCGUGUAUGCGUCUUUAGGCUUGAUGACGCGAGGUAUGGGACGCGAAUGAUGGGCUGAGAUAGCAUAACGUGGCAGACAAACACACACCAGUUGCAGACUUACUCAUGCGCUCGAUCAUACGCACACAUGAUUCUUCUGUGUUCUCUUUCUCUCUUCGUUGCUUGCUACAGGUACACAAGCACUCAUAUACAGGGGUGCGCUCACAUUGAAGUGCACGCACGCACGCUGAUGUAGCGCUCUUUCCCUUGUUUUGUUGUAUGUGAUUGCUUUCCGCUGUGCUGGUGUAUGUGUCGGAUGUGUAACCAUGACUGUGACUAUUCUCUUCUUUAUUAUUGUCGUUCCUUCACCCACUAAGAAAACGAAUUGAUUUCUUUGUUAGGUUUGUAAAGUUCCCCUCUCUCUUCGCCUCCCUCUCUCCCCUCCAAUUUCUCCUACUUCCUUCAGGAGGCACCGAGCAGCGACUCAGGAGGGAGCGAAAGCGAGUUGUUCAACCGCGCGAAAACGAAAAUACAACUUACUAUAACCUUUGCUUGAUUGUCCAUGGCAUGGGGUACCUCUCUGCCUCUGUUUCGCGCGAGAGAGGCGUGCAACAGUUCAAAGGCUGCUGCACGUGCUGUUAGCCAGAAAUCCGUGCGUUGCAGCACUACCCCCUCCUUCCUAACUCUCAGGCAUCACCACGGGCGCGCCUCACAGACGUUGGAUUUGAUCUGCACUCGUCUUCUCUGUUCUCCCGCUUUCUUUGUCACGUUUUGCUUCGCCCUCGCUUUCUGCCCACUGUUGCCCGCACGGUCGUGCGCGUGUGGCACUCUCCUGCCCCCCCUCUCUCUCUCUCUCCAACGACCUCUCUUGUUCUGCUGUGUUAUUCAUCAUCGUGUCUUGUUCGCAG